rnacentral:rRNA from 1 species
GGACCCCACUGCUAUCGGGAUGGGACUAAGACAUGCUAGUCGAGCGUCUCCAAGCUAUGGAAGAGACGCGGCAGACAGCUCAGUAACACGUGGCUAACCUGCCCUUGGGACAAGGACAACUCCGGGAAACUGGGGCUAAUCCCUGAUAGGUGAGAACUCCUGGAAUGGAUUCUCGCUGAAAGGACGUUUAGACCAUGCUUCUAGGCGUCGCCCAAGGAGGGGGCCGCGACCGAUCAGGUUGUUGGUGAGGUAACGGCUCACCAAGCCUUUAACCGGUACGGGCCGUGAGAGCGGAAGCCCGGAGAUGGGCACUGAGACAAGGGCCCAGGCCCUACGGGGCGCAGCAGUCGCGAAAACUCCGCAAUACACGAAAGUGUGACGGGGCUAUCCCGAGUGCCAUCCGCUGAGGAUGGCUUUUCCAUGGUGUAAGGAGCCGUGGGAAUAAGGAGAGGGCAAGACUGGUGUCAGCCGCCGCGGUAAUACCAGCUCUCCGAGUGGUGGGGACGAUUAUUGGGCUUAAAGCGUUCGUAGCCGGCUUAGCAAGUCUCCUGUUAAAUUCAGCGACCUAAUCGUUGAGCCGCGGGGGAUACUACUAAGCUAGGAGGCGGAAGAGGUCAACGGUAUUCUCGGGGUAGGGGUGAAAUCUUAUAAUCCUUGUAGGACCACCAGUGGCGAAGGCGUCAGACUGGAACGCGCCUGACGGUGAGGGACGAAAGCCAGGGGAGCGAACCGGAUUAGAUACCCGGGUAGUCCUGGCCGUAAACGAUGCAUACUAGGUGAUGGCAUGGCCAUGAGCCGUGUCAGUGCCCGUANGGAAACCGUU